GAGCUACCAAACUCUCCUGGAAAUAAUCGAGAAGAAAAGAAAAAUUUGCAACAUUGUUGGCGGGGUAGUUAGUCCUAUCUUAAGCAAUCUAUUCAUGCACUACAGCUUUGAUGCAUGGAUGAGAAGAGAAUAUCCAAGUGUAAAGUGGGCAAGAUAUGCUGAUGAUGGUGUUAUACAUUGUGUACCAAGCACAACUAAUUUUAACUCAACUUGAACAGAGACUGAAGAUUUGCAAAUUGGAAGUAAAGCAUACAAAGACCAAAAUUAUCUACUGUCAAGAUGGAAAACGAAUGGAUAAUCAUGAGAAUGUGUCAUUUACAUUUCUUGGAUAUGAAUUUCGAAAAAGACUUGUACGAAAUAGAAAAGAUAGUAGUCUGUUUGUAAGUUUUACUCCAACUGUAAGUAAAGAAAGCCUGAACAAGAUGAAGAAAGAAAUUAGAAGCUGGAAAUUUGCUAGAAGAACAAACUUGGAAAUAGAAGAUAUAUCACGAAUAUGUAAUCCAAUCCUGAGAGGGUGGUUUAACUAUUACGGGAAGCAUCAUAUAACUGCACUAGAUAGCAUAAUAAGAAUGUUUAAUAGGAAACUCAGAAAGUGGUUGCAGACAAAGUACAAGAAGCUGAAUAGGCAUAAGACCAAAGCAGCUAAGUUACUAGAAAGAUCGCAAAGAGUAGACCAAAUC
rnacentral:autocatalytically_spliced_intron from 1 species